UCCGGCCCUCCCUUUUCUCAUUCCUAGCAUGCAUCCGAGAGAGGGAGAGAGAGAGUCAUGGCGAUGUUGUAGAUCCCCUCGCCGCCGCAUCUGCCUGCUGAUGUCUACUGCAUCUCCCGCCUUGAGGAAAUCGUCUUGAAUAAUUCCGGGCCUGAACUGAUCUGAAAUGCUUUUGAAGAUGCUAACGGUGCAUUUCCAAUGUGGACGACCAACCAUGCACGAUUGUGGCGUCUUUACAUUCAAGUUUAUGGAAGUGUGGACUAAAAGGACUCAAGUUACUAACCACUUUUCAAGUGCUGACACAUCCAACUUAAGGAUAAAGUAUGCUAAUGAUAUGUUUUUCAGCGAGUUCAACAGUGUGGAUAAGUUCUAGUUACUGAUUUCUUUGCAGAUAACUUAUGCGGUGGCCCAAAAUCUGGACCCCAACAGCGAAGGAAGAGGGGUGCUGCAGUUAAAGACUGGGUUAAUGUCAGUAAUCAGGGUAUGAGCUACUACUCACCUCAUCUCUUUCCCGUCUUUGGGGUGAAUAUACUACUAUUAUAUUAUUGCAUGACCAUUCGGACACACUUACCUAUGCUACUAGUCACCAACUAGUCUAGGUCACAUAUGUUCGACUGUAGACGCUCUAAAAUGUACUGUUUAUGGGAACAUUUAUUUAGUAAGCUAAUAAUAAUUUACCUUUUUUAUGGACACACUAAUCUGUUUUUCUGUUAUCUGAAUCCACCCACAACGCAUACACAUGUGCAAUUCUGACAACGCAUAAAACUGAUCUUGGAUUGAAUGUUAAGCAUUGCCAUUCUUUUGCUAGUUUGCCAGAGUAAUGUGUUAGUUCAUGCAAGACCAAACGCCCUCACCCAUAAUAAUGCGAUGGUUUCGAUUAUCAUGUAGGAGUAAUGUGUUAGUUCAUGCAAAACCAAACGCCCUCACCCAUAAUAAUGCGAUGGUUUCGAUUAUCAUGUAGGAGUAAUGUGUUAGUUCAUGCAAGACCAUGAACCCUGGCUAGUGGGGACUGAGCUUGGGUGAAUAAACUGCACCUGCCUUUGGUAGGUGUAGUAAGUCACUGAAGCUGCGUCCGGCUAGUUGGCGAUCACGGGACGCAUUGUAGCCUGACUGAGGCAUUUGAUUUCGACCAUGCACCCGAUCGUAAUGACACGACGCGACACCCUCCACGCGCACGCGCAGGCACGAUCACGAGACGCACGAUCACUGGAGAGCUUAAGCUGCAGUCGUAAAGGACGCUAGCGAGCCAGAAGCAUUUAGUUUGAUUUCCAUCCCGGCCCAUUCCCCAGAGCCGGCUGGAUCACAUGCUGACAUGCACCAGUGGUGUGCUGCUAGCCCUUUCAUCCCUAUUCCCUAGACUUUGCUCAUCCCUUCAAUGAAGAAAAUAUGCCCUAGAGGCAAUAAUAAAGUUAUUAUUUAUUUUCUUGUAUCAUGAUAAAUGUUUAUUAUUAAUGCUAGA